UACGUAGGGUGCAAGCGUUGUCCGGAAUUAUUGGGCGUAAAGAGCUCGUAGGCGGUCUGUCACGUCGGCUGUGAAAUCCCGAGGCUCAACCUCGGGUCUGCAGUCGAUACGGGCAAACUAGAGUAUUGGAGGGGAGACUGGAAUUCCUGGUGUAGCGGUGAAAUGCGCAGAUAUCAGGAGGAACACCGGCGGCGAAGGCGGGUCUCUGGGCCAUAACUGACGCUGAGGAGCGAAAGCGUGGGGAGCGAACAGG
rnacentral:rRNA from 1 species